GACGAACGCUGGCGGCGUGCUUAACACAUGCAAGUCGAACGCUGAAGCUCAGCUUUUGUUGGGUGGAUGAGUGGCGAACGGGUGAGUAACACGUGAGUAACCUGCCUCCUUCUUUGGGAUAACGCCCGGAAACGGGUGCUAAUACUGGAUAUUCACUGGUCUUCGCAUGGGGGUUGGUGGAAAGGGUUUUUCUGGUGGGGGAUGGGCUCGCGGCCUAUCAGCUUGUUGGUGGGGUGAUGGCCUACCAAGGCUUUGACGGGUAGCCGGCCUGAGAGGGUGACCGGUCACAUUGGGACUGAGAUACGGCCCAGACUCCUACGGGAGGCAGCAGUGGGGAAUAUUGCACAAUGGGCGCAAGCCUGAUGCAGCGACGUCGCGUGAGGGAUGGAGGCCUUCGGGUUGUGAACCUCUUUCGCUCAUGGUCAAGCCGCAACAAUGGUUGUGGUGAGGGUAGUGGGUAAAGAAGCGCCGGCUAACUACGU
rnacentral:rRNA from 1 species